UACGGGGGGGGCAAGCGUUGUUCGGAAUUACUGGGCGUAAAGGGCUCGUAGGUGGCCAACUAAGUCAGACGUGAAAUCCCUCAGCUUAACUGGGGAACUGCGUCUGAUACUGGAUGGCUUGAGUUUGGGAGAGGGAUGCGGAAUUCCAGGUGUAGCGGUGAAAUGCGUAGAUAUCUGGAGGAACACCGGUGGCGAAGGCGGCAUCCUGGACCAACACUGACACUGAUGAGCGAAAGCCAGGGGAGCAAACGGG
rnacentral:rRNA from 1 species